rnacentral:misc_RNA from 1 species
CAUGGAAGCAAGGUGCCGGAUAACGUCCGGCGGGGGUGACCCCAGGGAUAGUGCCACAGAAAGCAGACCGCCCCGUAUGACGGGGUAAGGGUGAAAGGGUGCGGUAAGAGCGCACCGCGGACGCAGUAAUGCGGACGGCACGGUAAACCCCACCAGGAGCAAAACCGAAUAGGGACGACAGGCGUUCGCGCCAGGCCUGCUUCCAGGCUGGUCGUCCGGGUUGGUUGCUUGAGGCGGUCAGCAAUGACCGUCCCAGAGGAAUGGCCGCCACGUUCAAAGUCAUACGACUUUGGGCCCU